GAUGAACGCUGGCGGCGUGCCUAAUACAUGCAAGUCGAGCGAACAGAUGAGGAGCUUGCUCCUCUGACGUUAGCGGCGGACGGGUGAGUAACACGUGGAUAACCUACCUAUAAGACUGGGAUAACUUCGGGAAACCGGAGCUAAUACCGGAUAAUAUAUUGAACCGCAUGGUUCAAUAGUGAAAGACGGUUUUGCUGUCACUUAUAGAUGGAUCCGCGCCGCAUUAGCUAGUUGGUAAGGAACGGCUUACCAAGGCAACGAUGCGUAGCCGACCUGAGAGGGUGAUCGGCCACACUGGAACUGAGACACGGUCCAGACUCCUACGGGAGGCAGCAGUAGGGAAUCUUCCGCAAUGGGCGAAAGCCUGACGGAGCAACGCCGCGUGAGUGAUGAAGGUCUUCGGAUCGUAAAACUCUGUUAUUAGGGAAGAACAAAUGUGUAAGUAACUAUGCACGUCUGGACGGUACCUAAUCAGAAAGCCACGGCUAACUACGU
rnacentral:rRNA from 1 species